UAUUCUCAUAACUGCCCUUAAACCCAUUUUCUUCCACAGUUACGAAACUUUGCAUCUUCCCCCUCCAAUCUUCUUCUACAGCGGUUUCACAAAACCCUUUCUCUUCCAAAUGCAAAAACAAUUCUCAAUUUCUCUGUAACAUUAAACUAUCCAAUACUAUGUAAUCAAUAGCACUGCUAUGGCAUUCAAUUGAUGAAUCUCGAUGCAAAUUAAAGCUCUUUCACGGGGAGGCUAUCGCGUCGGAAUCGUAAUCGAUGACUUUUAGUAAAAAGGAAAAGAAAACAUUGUCGGAAUUUCUCACGGUUUCUGGUGGCCUUCCUCCCGACGAUGGAGAAAUCCGGUUGCGUUUUCCAGUGAAUGGAGUUCAGCGCGACUAGGAACAAGAUUGAAGGGCAAAGGUGCAUGGGAUGCUAUCUCAAAUGGACAUUUUGGUUUAUCUGCAUUCCCUGAGGAGGAUAGCUAUUAUUUUAUUUAAUCUCUGUCUUCCCUAUUUGUUAAAUAUUUAUUUAUUCUUCCAUAUUUUAGAGCCAAACAUUAGUUCUCCGCUAAAUCCACAAGCAGCACAGCUUUGGAGCAAUCAAGAAGGAAGAUGGUGGAGGAGUUGUACAAAUCUCCAGUGGCUUAAUUUAGAUGUCAAAGUUCUCAUGGAUUUUAUUUCUCUAUGUCUGAUGGUGAUUUGUUCUUGAUUGUAUUGGUAGUUAUGUUUAUAUUAUACUAACCCUUUCCUUACAUUCAUAUAGAGCGUCCCAAACCCAGAUGGAUAUCGAUAGAACCGUCACCGAUACAAUAGAAGGUAUACGACGUGACACAAUAUUAGGAAGAUCAUUUUGACGUCAUGACUAUCACUGAGAAUCAAACAUUUUGUUUUGGGAAGUCUCAAACAACUCAUUGGAAUUGAAUUGAUAAGCACUGAUUGAGCACUGGUAUCUCUUUAAAUGAUUAUCAAGUUUCUGCAUACACAAGACAGAUUUUAAAUGGCUUGAAGUAUCUUCAUGAAAAUGAUGUAGUCCACAGGUAGCAGAUUUUGGUAUGUUAUCCCCCAGGGUACAGAGUAUGUGAGUAAAUACUUGGUGCCAUUUGUUUUUUGAUGAUCUCUUUCUUAAAACAUUUUGCAUCUUUUAUUUUCCUGUCUAAUGUUUACUUAUAUUGAUUCUCCU